rnacentral:tRNA from 1 species
GCCUGGGUAGCUCAGUCGGUUAAGCGUCUGACUUCUGUUCAGGUCAUGAUCUCACACUCCGUGGGUUUGAGCCCCAUGUCAGGCU